AUGCUCACUUUGGCACGGAUACUAAAAUUGGAACCAUACAGGGAUUAGCAUGGCCCCUGCACAAGGAUGACACACAAAUUCAUCAACUGUUCCAUAGUUUU
rnacentral:snRNA from 1 species